AUUGAACGCUGGCGGCAUGCUUUACACAUGCAAGUCGAACGGUAACAGGCCUUCGGGUGCUGACGAGUGGCGAACGGGUGAGUAAUGCAUCGGAACGUACCCAGAGGUGGGGGAUAACGCAGCGAAAGCUGUGCUAAUACCGCAUGUGAUCUGAGGAUGAAAGCGGGGGACCGAGCAGCAAUGUUUGGCCUCGCGCCUUUGGAGCGGCCGAUGUCGGAUUAGCCAGUUGGUGGGGUAAAGGCCUACCAAGGCGACGAUCUGUAGCUGGUCUGAGAGGACGACCAGCCACACUGGGACUGAGACACGGCCCAGACUCCUACGGGAGGCAGCAGUGGGGAAUUUUGGACAAUGGGCGCAAGCCUGAUCCAGCAAUGCCGCGUGCGGGAAGAAGGCCUUCGGGUUGUAAACCGCUUUUGGCAGGAACGAAACGGUGUCCGCUAAUACCGGGCGCUAAUGACGGUACCUGCAGAAUAAGCACCGGCUAACUACGUG
rnacentral:rRNA from 1 species